rnacentral:rRNA from 1 species
AGUGAACGCUGGCGGUAGGCCUAGCACAUGCAAGCCGAACGGCAGCACAGUAAGAGCUUGCUCUUACGGGUGGCGAGUGGCGGACGGGUGAGGAAUACAUCGGAAUCUACUUUUUCGUGGGGGAUAACGUAGGGAAACUUACGCUAAUACCGCAUACGACCUACGGGUGAAAGCAGGGGAUCUUCGGACCUUGCGCGAUUGAAUGAGCCGAUGUCGGAUUAGCUAGUUGGCGGGGUAAAGGCCCACCAAGGCGACGAUCCGUAGCUGGUCUGAGAGGAUGAUCAGCCACACUGGAACUGAGACACGGUCCAGACUCCUACGGGAGGCAGCAGUGGGGAAUAUUGGACAAUGGGCGCAAGCCUGAUCCAGCCAUACCGCGUGGGUGAAGAAGGCCUUCGGGUUGUAAAGCCCUUUUGUUGGGAAAGAAAAGCAGCAGGUUAAUACCCCGCUGUUCUGACGGUACCCAAAGAAUAAGCACCGGCUAACUUCGUG